GUGCAAGAAUUAUUAGAAUAUAUGCAUUAUUUUUUUUGCAAGCAAUGCCUUGAUGUUUAUGAUACAUUGAUAAUGUACUAAAGUAAACAUAACUUUUUGAAAAGCUUCAGGCAUGCUUUACUUGACACCAAACAUUAUUUAGAACCAGACUGAGUCAUUGAAAAAUGCGAUUGAGAGUUGCUGCCAAUCGGACUCCACCUUGAGCUAAUCGCAAAUUCACUAUUGGUUUUCGGGAUAGGAAAUAAUCAUCUACAAGCAGGUUAUUGUUUUAAUUAUUAUUCCCGAUUUAUCAAAUAAAAAAAUGAACAUGCCUUAAUAUCAGAAGAUUUUGUGGCUUACCUUCUAGUACUGAUCCUUCCGUUACACCUUUGUACGCCCAAUCACAUGCUGCUUUGAUACUUUCAGAUGCAUAUCUAUGGGAAGCAGGCAAUUUUAUUUGAGAGUAAUGCAUCAAUUAAACUAAUAAUUCUUCAUCAAUUCUAGCAUGAUAGUUUAAAAGGAGCUCAAUAAACAGGGCUUCUUGCUACUAUACUGUGAGAGUUGAGUGAUCUUAUGAUAAAUUGUCUAGUGUAUUAUAUCCAAAUAAAAUGAGGUUGUCAAAGCAUACAUGUCUGGGCAGGCUAUCUUGUUACGACUGCAGGUCUCCCAUUUUUGAACUAGAUCUGUCCAUUCUGACUGUUGUUCAUAAUUCCCAAUGCCAAGAGAAAGAAAAUGGGUAUAGGUCAGGAUAGAUGGAGCCAAAACAAAUGAUACAGAUAAUUCAUUUCAAGAGUGGAAUACCGUGAUAUUCUGCUGAAUUGCAUCAAUCAUGUCAUCCACAUUUGAGUUGUAGAAUCUUUCCUCAGCUGUCUCAAUUAUAUUUGCAUCCCAAACAUGGUGAAGGACUUGUUUCCUUGUGUACCAAUGGACAUCAAUUGUGUUGCCUCCCCUGUCUGAAGUAAAACCCACAUGCAGAGGCUACAUUAUGGAAGAUUUUGCUAUCAUUUACUGACUCGAAAAAUAUCAAUAAAUGGGUAUACAUUUCUUGUGUUAUUUAUUGAUUGCCUUACCUGAUGGAUGUCUCCUAUAAAAUGAGAAAGGAAAAGAAGUGCUUCUGUGAGAUUAUCUGAUAUUCACUCAUAUAAUUAUAUUAUGUCAGAAAAGAUUUAAAAAGGAGAAAUUCUUGUACAAAUCGAGCAUAUACUGUGAAUAAAAAGAUGGAAGAUAAGGAAAAAAAAUUAAAAGAGAUUAAACAAAAUGUUUGUUUUAAUUACAUUCAGUCAGGAGGGAGGAAGCAGUGUUGUAGGUAAUAAGUUGGGAAGUGUAAUUGUUAAUUGCACCAGCAACACACCGCCCUUUCUCUCCAUUUUCAUCCUUGCAAUCCCCUAAAUACCCAAAAAGAGAAAAAAGAGGCUAAUAGUACUCUUUGAUCAAGAAAUAGAAAACUUUUGAUGGGAGGGAAGAUAAGGAAAAAGAACUUGCUAUUGUAUUGGUAGGUACAGAGAGAAUCUGGGGUGUCAAUGUAAUGUAGGGCAGAUGACCAAUGGUAACGGAAUUUGACAUUGUCUGCCCAUGAGCACACGCUCGCUAAGUCAUUCUCCGCAGACUCUGGCAGAAGUUGCUUCAGAGCAUCUGCAGCAGCUUCACUCAACCGAGACUGUUCAUAACACAAACACAGAAAACAUACAUCCACUAAAAGAAUAAAAGCAUACCAAAAAUACAUUAGAAGUAGAAGGAAGGCUCAAGGACCUGAGCGAUUCUGCAAACUAUGAAGUGCCCAUCA
rnacentral:misc_RNA from 1 species